rnacentral:tRNA from 1 species
GAGAAAGACUCAAGAACUGCUAACUCUUGUACUCCAUACCUAAUAGUAUGGCUUUCU